rnacentral:rRNA from 1 species
AUUGAACGCUGGCGGCAGGCCUAACACAUGCAAGUCGAGCGGAUGAAGGGAGCUUGCUCCUGGAUUCAGCGGCGGACGGGUGAGUAAUGCCUAGGAAUCUGCCUGGUAGUGGGGGAUAACGUCCGGAAACGGGCGCUAAUACCGCAUACGUCCUGAGGGAGAAAGGGGGGGAUCUUCGGACCUCACGCUAUCAGAUGAGCCUAGGUCGGAUUAGCUAGUUGGUGGGGUAAAGGCCUACCAAGGCGACGAUCCGUAACUGGUCUGAGAGGAUGAUCAGUCACACUGGAACUGAGACACGGUCCAGACUCCUACGGGAGGCAGCAGUGGGGAAUAUUGGACAAUGGGCGAAAGCCUGAUCCAGCCAUGCCGCGUGUGUGAAGAAGGUCUUCGGAUUGUAAAGCCCUUUAAGUUGGGAGGAAGAGCAGUAAGUUAAUACCUUGCUGUUUUGACGUUACCAACAGAAUAAGCACCGGCUAACUUCGUG